CGGGGGACCGGGGAGGCGGCUGGCUUUAAAUGGGGGCCGUCCGGCGGCUCGGGGACAGUCUGCCGCGGGGGGAACGCGGACCUCCCUUCCCCGCGCCGAGGAUCUGCUGGGGCCGCCGCCAGGCAAGUUCGCCCCAAGUGCGCGGGUGCCGCGGGCCGAGAUGCUCCUCCGGGACUUGGUGCUGCGCCGUGGCUGCUGCUGGCCUUCUCUGCUGCUGCACUGCGCGCUCCACCCGCUCUGGGGCUUCGUGCAGGUGACGCACGGUGAGCCCCAGAAGUCCUGCUCCAAGGUGACCGAUAGCUGUCAACACAUCUGCCAGUGCCGGCCCCCUCCCUUGCUGCCCCCACCGCCCCCGCCCCCACCGCCUCCCAGACUCCUCUCCGCCCCAGCCCCCAACUCUACCUCGUGCCCCGCUGAGGAAAGCUGGUGGUCAGGGCUGGUGAUCGUCAUCGCGGUAUGCUGUGCCUCCCUGGUGUUUCUCACUGUGCUUGUCAUCAUUUGCUACAAAGCCAUCAAAAGGAACCAGGCCUUGUAGGGAGUCGUCCGAGGCCAUCUCUUCCCACACCAGGGUGCACAUGCCUUACUUUGGUUUAGCGGGACCAGCCCUGGCUGGCUCACAGCGCUGCAGAGCCAUGCUGGGUCCCGGCGAGCCUCUCUGGCCUUUCCUGAGCCCCACGGGCAUCCAUUAGGCAGCAGACUAGGCUCCAAGUACCAGUCCUCAGGCUGGGUUCCUAGAGGCUCCGGGGACAUUGGAGAAGGCAGAAGCAAUCAAUCACCAGGUUUUCAGAGAUGGCCUUAGACAUUCAACGGAGACAAUAUACAACAAAGGCCACGUCAGGCUCAGCCCCAGCGUUCCUGGGGACAGAGGUGACUGAGCUACAGCCCCAUGGGCCUCAGAUUCACCCGAGAGACAGCAGUAUUGUGAUAUGGGACUGGGCUCCACAGCAUGUGUGGCCUAGAUCCAGAGGCUGUCGCCAGGGGCCUGGAGGCCUCCUGAGCCAGCCAGGAGAGGAGGUCAGAUUGGAGCCAGGCCAGAAAGUAGUGCUGAGAAUUCAGAACCUCUGCGAGUGAGCAAGAGCCUUCUCAAAGCCUCCCAGCCGGCCUUCCUGAGCCUUGUAUGUAUGGGAGAAAUGGCUCUUGGGGUCAAAUAGCCUCUGGAAUGGUCUUCAAAUGGCCUGACAUUAAGUGCUUGAGAACCACUAGUAUGCGCUUAGUUUGGACACUCGCCAUUACAUCACCGCUGCCAUUGACACAACCAUAACCAUCAGCAUCACCACCACCAUUACCAUAGCCGCCGCCGUUGACACAACCAUAACCACCACCCCCAUCACUUCCACCGCCAACUCUACCACCAUUUCCACCCCCAUUACUCUUCCCACCGCCCCAAGCCACCAUGGCCACCACCAGGCGUCACCAUCACCGCCACCCUCUUUAUCACCUUUUCCAUGUACCUCUGACCACACAGAGGCAAGGCUGCAAAAUCCAACCUCUGGCGCCUCAACUCUGCACCCCCAGGUAUUCAUCUUCACAACUGCUUGCUCAUAAUCAGAGAUCAACCAAAGCCUGACCAUACGUCUUACACAGGUUCUCCACUCUUGUUUGUCCCAAACAGUCCCAAUUCAUUAUGAACAGCCGUUGUCCCCGCUUCAUUAACAGCUCUCCUCUCUCACUCUCAAUUGUGUCCUGGUGUGUACGACACAGUGGGUGGUCCCCCUCAUUAAGACCACCUCCAGCUCCUGAUUGGCCCCCACAAGGACCAGCAGCCCAAGGAUACUAACCCAGAACCGAGUCUGGUGGCCUGCCUGGAAGGACAUGAUGCACCUACCCCUGCCAUUGGUCAUUAACGGAUGUCCCUGCCUCCCCUCCCAGGAAACCACUGAGAAAAGAGGAGAAUGGCACCAGUGUUGCUGAGUAUCCCAUGACCUCCUCGCAGAGCAACAAAGGGGUGGACGUGAACAGCGCUGUGGUGUGAGUCUGCAGACCCCGGACUCGCUGGCCAGAGGGGCACAUUGGUGGCAUUAGUGGACACGGGAAAGCAGGAGGACACGAGCUGACUCUGGGCUUGUCCAGGAUUUCCCAGGGAGAAACCAUCCUGUUCCCAGCCUGCCCCUGGUCAGCUCGCGGGCCAGCUCACCUGCGUGCAGCAGCCGGGGCCGCACCGCCACACCCACUCUUCACGUCUCUUCUCCAUCUUGGAUUUGAUUUACUGUCUCCCAGCUGCGCUCUGACAAAGGCAGGGAGUCCGUCUGUCUGCUGCGGUAGGGGAGCAUCCUACCUUAGCCAAGAGAAAGGUGAUCCAGGAGUCACUUGCCUGCCAGAAAACCUCUCCUCCUCCCCAGGAAGACUGCUCUCCAUUCACCAUGCAUCCCAGCAGAAGCCAUCAGCACAGCCAUGAGAUGUCCCCUUCCAAAGGUGCUUCCCACACAUCUGUCUGUCACCCCAUCGGCGACUUGUCUUUAGUCUUCAGGGCCUGCCUCCUUUCUUCCUGUUCCCUCCCACACCCCCGGCGCCUGGCUCUUGACUUCUGACCCCUGCCACGGUGGGCUGUGAGCCCAGCCCGCAAGGUCCCCUCCUGACUGAGCAGACAGAGGGGCUCUUUUACACCCAGAGCUAGUGUCUGACCUUCCAGAGGCAAAACAAAUCACUGAACGCCACGCCAAGGACCCGGGAAGGACAGAGCCCCCUCUACCCACUCGCAGACUCAUUUCCACCCCUGAUCCUCGUAGGAACUGAUGCCUCCAUGUGAGCCACGCCCUGCCUUCAUCCGGAGAGGCCACCACUCAUGCCAAGCCCAGCACUUUGGGUUAGGCUGACCCGGCCUGGCGCUGGGUCUCCCCGAUGACCCCCUAAGGCCCUUCCCAGGUACUCAGACCCUCUCCGGAGAGUCCCCAGCCUCUCUUCAUCCGGAAGGAGGUGGUGUUCUCCCAGCGGCCCCCUUCGAAUGUCUUGUGUUCUAAAAAUGCUGAACCGUCCAGAGGGGUUGGUGGACGAAGGGAAGGAAGGGGAGGGAGGGAGGGAGGGAGAGGACCCUCCGGGCCUGGUAAUCUUGGUCCCCUGGCCUGUUUCCCAGGUGGCCACCCGACCUGUGGGCACAUCACUAGGCCCGUGGGGACAGAGGCCUGUGGUCUGGCAUCGCCCGGAUUGGGAGAACACUCCUGACCCCGUGGUUCCCUCACCUCCCAUACACUUGCUCAGAAGGAAGUGGACACAUUUAAUGGUUCCGCUCUCUCUGUGUAGGAACUGAGCUAGGUGGACUCCGUCCACUUUCCAGACCACCAGUGUGGUUCUCUGAAGGGUAUUUGGGCCACGGUGAGACUUUGCCAUCCAGGUAAGCCUGACAAGACAGUAAACAAAUCCCCGUUUGGGCUGAACCUUGGAAAUCCACCUUGGGUUGGGAAUCCCUUUGCCCAUGGAGCUGUGUUCCAUUGUGUUUCGGAGAGCAGAGGGGAGAAGGUGAGUUUGCUGUGACCCUCACCCGGGUCCUCCCCGCAUGUCAACAGGAACAGGCUGAGGACUGGCCCAGGCCCAUACCCUCCCAGAAAGGGCUCUCUUCUUCCUUUCGGUUUUGCUUCUGUGUGAGGACCUGUGUUUGGUUUGGAUUUGUGUUCUGCUUUCCCUGCCUACCUUGGCAUGGCACGGUGCCACCAGUGGCCUUUGUCACUGCCUCGAGCUGGUGACAAAGGGCCAGGGGAUGUGGGUUUGCAGCAAGGCUCUUUCCCUUACUGCCUGUAGCCUGCCACCGAGUCCCCUGCGUGUUCCCUGAACAGACACUCGGGCGGGACCCCAGCUCUAUGCACACGGCACCUUGGGCUCAGAAGUGAUGGGAAGACACCUUCGGUCAGAGGGGAAGGCCCUGACUAAGGGGUCAUGACGUGAUGGGCAUCCAGCCUGGGGAGACCUCAAGGGAGGCAGGGCACAGCCCAGCUUUGCACAACCCCACAACUCCCACCUUCCCUCACCCUGGCUGAAACCUAGGAGGUUUUACAGUUGGCCUAACCCUCCAGCCGCAGGCAGGGUUUCCCAACUGUCCACACUUGGCAUCCACCUCGCUCUAGGGACACGGCCAGGGCUCCACGAAAAGCUAACAUUUGCGCAUAAACUCCCCCCACAUUGGGUUUGUAAAGUCUCCUCUCUCGGCUAGUGCAAACCAAGAGAAGAACCCAGUUUUUAAAAACAAAGUCACACGAGAAUUCAACCCCACAAACCUAGAACUGGCCAUUUGGAUACCGUCCUGUGUGCCGCAAGGAGGCCUCACUGGAUUUUUCGCUUAAGUGACAAGAAGCAUCUGUAAAACCACACCAACCUGGUCUUUGAAAUCGGAACUUUUGUUUAAGGAACGUAUCUGCAGCCCCUAAACGCAGACCAAUCUUCAGGCUAGCCCAAACUUUGAGGUCGAGAAAUGCACAUUUCUUCUCUGCGUUUUCUCAAAUGGAUAUUUUUUAACUGUCUCCUAGUUGAGCCCGACUUAGAAUGGCAUAUAGGAUCUCCCAGAGUUUUUAGGUGUUAUUUAGAAGCUUCUAAAGCAAGUUUUGGAAGAAAGACUAAUAGCUAUAAAAAUAUAGACAUAUAUAUUAUAUAUAGUUAUAUAUAUAUAUAUAUUUAAAGAGAUAUCUAUAUCUAUAUAAAAUUACUGUACUCUCUGAAUCUGUACACAGUCUGACUUAAACAGCCCAGGUAGUAUGGGAUAUCUAAUGCAUGAAUGUAAAUAUCCUGAGAUCUGCCUUCCUCGCAAUGUGCCGUGUGCAUACGGGGAGAGGGCUCUUGUCUCUCAUUCUGUCUCAACGGACAAAUGUACAAGUGGUGCCGUCUUGUCCACCAGCGAGCCACUAAUGUGGAUUUUGUGCUGAGACCACGCAGGGAGCAGGACCGGCAGCACUUGGGGGGGGUGGGGCAGACUGGAUGCUACUUAUGAGGAAGAAAGUACCAUGCCUUUUUUAUUUUCAAUAAAAAUACACUUAUACAGAU